CCUACGGGUGGCAGCAGUGGGGAAUAUUGCACAAUGGGGGGAACCCUGAUGCAGCGACGCCGCGUGAGUGAAGAAGUAUUUCGGUAUGUAAAGCUCUAUCAGCAGGGAAGAAAAUGACGGUACCUGACUAAGACGCCCCGUCUAACUACGUGCCAGCAGCCGCGGUUAUACGUCGGGGGCGAGCGUUAUCCGGAUUUACUGGGUGUAAAGGGAGCGUAGGCGGUUUUGCGAGUCUGAAGGGAAAGCCCAAGGCGAAACCAUGGGACUGCCUUUGAAACUGGAAAACUGGAGUGCAGGAGAGGUAAGCGGAAUUCCUGGUGUAGCGGUGAAAUGCGUAGAGAUUAGGAGGAACACC
rnacentral:rRNA from 1 species